GCAAACUUGGUCAUUUAGAGGAAGUAAAAGUCGUAACAAGGUCUCCGUAGGUGAACCUGCGGAGGGAUCACUAUAGAAAACAAACAUAUAUACUCCUAGAGGGGGUGGGAGAAGAGGGGUGGGUUAUAUAUAUAUAUAUACCUCUCUCCUAUUUUCCUGUUUUCUCUGGGCAAACAAACAUACAUGACUAAGAAAACACUAACUCACAGAGAGGUGGUUUGGUUUGAUUUGGAUAUGCUUCUCUCUCUCAACAAAAGUUCCUGUCUGAUAGGUAGCCUACUGUGAUUUGGAGUAGUAGUUACUACAGUCAAUACAACUUUCAACAACGGAUCUCUUGGCUCUCGCAUCGAUGAAGAACGCAGC
rnacentral:misc_RNA from 1 species